rnacentral:rRNA from 1 species
UACGGAGGGCGCAAGCGUUGUUCGGAUUUAUUGGGCGUAAAGGGCUCGUAGGCGGCCAACUAAGUCAGACGUGAAAUCCCUCAGCUUAACUGGGGAACUGCGUCUGAUACUGGAUGGCUUGGAUUCGGGAGAGGGAUGCGGAAUUCCAGGUGUAGCGGUGAAAUGCGUAGAUAUCUGGAGGAACACCGGUGGCGAAGGCGGCAUCCUGGACCGAUAUUGACGCUGAGGAGCGAAAGCCAGGGGAGCAAACGGG